rnacentral:rRNA from 1 species
UACGGAGGGUGCAAGCGUUGUCCGGAUUUAUUGGGUUUAAAGGGUGCGUAGGCGGUCUUUUAAGUCAGUGGUGAAAUCCUCCAGCUCAACUGGAGAACUGCCAUUGAUACUGGAAGACUUGAGUAUAGUUGAGGUAGGCGGAAUUGACAGUGUAGCGGUGAAAUGCAUAGAUAUUGUCAAGAACACCGAUUGCGAAGGCAGCUUACUAAACUGUAACUGACGCUGAGGCACGAAAGUGCGGGGAUCAAACAGG